rnacentral:rRNA from 1 species
CCCUUAGAUGUUCUGGGCCGCACGCGCGCUACACUGUUUGAUUCAGCGAGUCUUAACCUUGACCGAAAGGUUUGGGUAAUCUUCUAAAGUCAAACGUGAUGGGGAUCGAUCAUUGCAAUUAUUGAUCGUGAACGAGGAAUUCCCAGUAAAUGCAAGUCAUCAGCUUGCGUUGAUUACGUCCCUGCCCUUUGUACACACCGCCCGUCGCUACUACCGAUUGAAUGGUUUAGUGAGAUCUCCGGAUUGGCUCUGUAGGUCCCGCAAGGGAUUUAUUAGUAGCCAAGAAGCUGCUCAAACUUGAUCAUUUAGAGGAAGUAAAAGUCGUAACA